rnacentral:rRNA from 1 species
GAUGAACGCUGGCGGCGUGCCUAAUACAUGCCAGUCGAGCGAACGGACGAGAAGCUUGCUUUUCUGAUGUUAGCGGCGGACGGGUGAGUAACACGUGGAUAACCUACCUAUAAGACUGGGAUAACUUCGGGAAACCGGAGCUAAUACCGGAUAAUAUUUUGAACCGCAUGGUUCAAAAGUGAAAGACGGUCUUGCUGUCACUUAUAGAUGGAUCCGCGCUGCAUUAGCUAGUUGGUAAGGUAACGGCUUACCAAGGCAACGAUGCAUAGCCGACCUGAGAGGGUGAUCGGCCACACUGGAACUGAGACACGGUCCAGACUCCUACGGGAGGCAGCAGUAGGGAAUCUUCCGCAAUGGGCGAAAGCCUGACGGAGCAACGCCGCGUGAGUGAUGAAGGUCUUCGGAUCGUAAAACUCUGUUAUUAGGGAAGAACAUAUGUGUAAGUAACUGUGCACAUCUUGACGGUACCUAAUCAGAAAGCCACGGCUACCUACGUG